GGGGGUUUAGCUCAGUUGGGAGAGCACCUGCCUUGCAAGCAGGGGGUCACGAGUUCGAAUCUCGUAAUCUCCA
rnacentral:tRNA from 1 species